GAGAGGCUAUAAGUUAGGGAUGGUCUGGUUUUCUAGGGUUAGUUGAAAGAAAGGAAUUUUGAGAUAAGCUCCGGGAAAGGAUUCUGGGUAAGAACGGAAUUGGGGGAGUCUAAAACUGAAAAUAACUGAACUUCCUUCCUUCUUGGAUUUCCUAUGAGCUGGAAGUAGAUUUUGUCUUUCUGCCUGAAUUUCCAUCAAGCUGACGGAGAGGUUUUGCUCUAAGAGAUUCUCCCUGGAUAGUCAAGAUUUCAUGGACAUUUGACAUCUAGGUAGGGAAUUUAUUUGGAGGAAACCAGUUUCCCCAAGUCUAAAGAUCACCUGCCAGUGGUCCAGCUGCCAGAAUUCCUCUUGGGCUAAGGAAAUGGAAUUUAAAAGGAGCUCAGACUACAUCUAUACAGUGCCAUAGAAGCACAGACUUAACCUGAAGAGUGCCCAAAAAGAGCACACAGUUCAAAAAGAAAGAAACCAAUCCAGGUUUUUUUCUCUUCUUUUGAUAAUUGACUCAUAUACCCCCAUAACUCAACAUUGCAUCCUGAGCUGAACUGGACGUUUCUUAAUACCCACUUAAGAGGGAGAUUGUAUUUUAAUAAAAAUCCAAGAUUUAAAAUUUUUGUUCAAGAAAGAUUUUCAAGGAAAGAAGCUUGCUAACACCUAAAAUCCAGAGAAUGAACUAUUUGCAGAAAGAUGCCUGAAAAAAACUACACUACAUCAAGAAGAUCCAGAAUGAACUUUGGAUGUGGUUGAUUGAACUGAAGGUUGAUUGAACAUUUAAUUUGAAUGUAUACUUUUAUGCCAAAAGGGAACUGCCCCCUAAUUGGUUUUUGUCAAUACACCCAACAAACAUUGGUUUUUCUGUUUUUCUCUCUUCUAUUCCCCUCUUAUCUCUAACUAUUUGUAAUUUUGGGGAUAAGGUGAAAUUUUGUACACACACCUGUACUUAGAAAAUUUAGAGGUACAAGAUUUAGUGAUCAAUUGGGGAGACUAGUUCAGGGGGAAUUGUGAAUUUUAGAUGAAUUCCACCCUGCUUAGUCUUUAGAGUUUUAGCAACCAGGAAUGUAUACACCCCCACUUAAGGAUUAAGUGUUGGGGAGGAAGAUCUAUUACCAGCAUGUGCUAGCAAGUGACAAAUCAGAAACAACUGACUGACCCCCUGGACUGUCCUAAUUCAAACUUAAGCCACCAUUGGUACAUGAGACACAGGAAGUGAUGUAAAGAACUGCCUAUAUAUUUUGCAUCACUUCCUGUGAUCACUCUCUUGGUAGUGUUGGGAGCAUUUGGCAGGUUUGGCAUGCUUGAGGCUUUGGCAGACUUUGGCAGUGGAGGUCACUGAGAGGAGCUUUGUAAGCAUGGUUUAGGUGAGGUGUCUUUGCUGAAUCAUCCUUGGUAAGUGAUAAAGCUGACUCCCCCUUUCCUUUACCUCCUGAAGGCACUAUCCUCUGAGGAGGCCCCUCAUCUUGGAGGAGGCCUUGUAAUUGGAAGCCGAGCUAGAUUUAAUCUUCUGAGAAGGCCCCUUGGCUGAGGCCUCUGAACUUCCUUUGACUGAGGGAAGGCCAGAGAAAACCUUAUACCCUUUCCUUCUUUUCCUUCUUAAUUUCUUCUUUCUAUUGUAAUCAAACCACCAUAAAAUCCCAAACUGACUUGAGUAUUUCAUUGGGAUUGAAUUUUAAUCCCUGGUGACCACUAAUAUAAUAUAUUCAGUCAACAACCCUAAAAUUUUACCUUAACAUAGGGAUUAUCUUUUCUAUUUGUAUUCCCAGCACUUUGUACAAAGUAUUUAAUAAACACUU